AAGAAGAAGAUUAACCACUUCCACGAGCUUCACGCCACGGCUUUUUACAGAAUUCUGUUCUGAUGUUGAGCUGUGGUCCCUUCAUCCAGACGCUCUUCGAAAACCAGUCUCUUUCACAGACAUCAGGGUCCAGUGACUACUUUUGGGGGGUCUGCAAACUUCCAAUGAGGACCAUUGACCAAUUGAAAAGGAUUCACUCAAGGAGGGAUUAAAUGCCACCAUCUCACCCCAAUACCUUGGAAAUGAUGGGUCAAUUAUUGGGUGAUGGCUUUUCCACCACCAAAACGCUUGUAAAUAGUUGCCUAAAACACAUGAAUAGUUAAUUGUUUUAGGCUGGAACCGUUUAAUUUCUAAUAAUACAUUUUAAAAUAUAAUUGUAUAAAAUGCCAUGUUGUUUUAUGUAUUGUAAAUAAACAAGUCAUUCAGCACCAUUUCAGUAAGUAACUAAUGUCAAGCAGUUGUGACUGUUGCGCAUAAUUAUUGUGAUGCUGUAUAAAGUAAUAUCAAAGGUGACAACAUACUUGCCACACAAUUUUUAUAUCAAUUGACAUGACAAAAGUGCAGUUGAGGCAUGACAAUGUCAAAGUUGCAUCAACAGCAGCUUGUAAAUGGGAUGAUUUUGAAUAAAAACUUUCUUGAAAUUAUUAUAAUUAUUUUAAUUGGUGUCAAUGAUCCCUUCGAUGCAAAUUCGAGUGACUAUUUACCUCACAAUCGCAUAACAUGUUGUAUUUGGUUAUGACAAAUGGGGAAAGUCAAAAUUUGUCAGCAACUUGUACAAACUGUUCUGCUUGAUUUUGAAUUAUCUGCAGAUUAAUUUGGGCAUGCAUUCAUGGCAGCUUGGUGUAUGUUUCAAUCAUGGCUAUCAGCUUUUACAACAGUACUGCAAAAUAAAUUCUCAACAUCUGAAAAAAAAAAAAAAAAA
rnacentral:lncRNA from 1 species